rnacentral:rRNA from 1 species
AUGGCGUCGCUCGCAGCCCGGAGCCGGAGACCAGCCUACCUCCUAGCCCUCCUCUCCGUCGUCACGGCCUUAUUCCUGACCCCGCCGGCCUUGGCGGCGGGGGGGGGGGGGAAGACCGGCCAGGUGACGGUGUUCUGGGGACAGAACAAGGCGGAGGGGUCCCUGCGUGAGGCCUGCGACUCCGGCAUGUACACCAUGGUCACCAUGUCCUUCCUCGACGUCUUCGGCACCAACGGCAAGUACCACCUCGACCUCUCCGGCCACGACCUCUCCUCCGUCGGCGCCGACAUCAAGCAUUGCCAGCUCAAGGGCGUGCCCGUCUCCCUCUCCAUCGGCGGCUACGGCACCGGCUACUCGCUGCCGUCCAACCGCUCCGCGCUCGACCUCUUCGACCACCUCUGGAACUCCUACUUCGGCGGGUCCAAGCCGGGCGUCCCCCGCCCCUUCGGCGACGCGUGGCUCGACGGCGUCGACCUCUUCCUGGAGCACGGCACGUCGGCGGACCGCUAUGACGUGCUGGCGCUGGAGCUGGCCAAGCACAACAUCCGUGGGGGGCGGGGAAGCCGCUGCACCUGA